CUCACAGAGAUCCGCCUGGCUCUGCCUCCCGAGUGCUGGGAUUAAAGGCGUGCGCCACCACCGCCCGGCUUUUUUUUUUUGAGACCUUGUCAAAAAGCAUUUUUGUUCGUUCAUUUUCUCAAAUGCAAGAAAGCCAGAGUAAAUGGUUACAGACAGACACGGGAGACACAGACUUCGUUCAAGAGGAGCUCACGCAGCUGUAAGAACAACCUGCUGUUAAGUGAGGAGGGCUGGGGAGAUGACCGGGAGGGUGAGGGCCCUUCUGCGCUAGAAGAGGACCUGGUUCAGUUCUUAGCACCUUUAUCAGAAGGCUCAAAACCACCGAAGUUCAGCUCCAAGGGAUCUGAUGCCCUCUGCCUCCUCAGGCACAUGCUUACACACACACACACACACACACACACACACACACACACACACACACUUUUAAAGUUUGGCAAGUGAAUCUACAGGUUAGAAGUUUACAAAAAAAAAAAAAAUUAACAAAAAGAAUCCAAAUAACAAAAAAAACAUGAGGAAAGACAUAAUUUGCUGUGGAUGUAUCACAAGGUAGAGGAAGUCAGCCUGAUCAUCAAUUAACAAUGGUAAUACCUGCUGAAAACAGGUGGUUCGGUGAUUUCAUUAUGCGGACAUCAUGCAGUGUCCUUAUCCAAAAUGGGCAUGAUGUCACUGGGCCACUUUUUUUUUUUUUUAAGAACAGAUCUCUCCAUGUACUCCUGGGUGGUCUAGAACUCACUACAUAGGCCAGGCUGGUCUGGAACUCACAGAAAUAUAUCCUCCUCUGUCUUUCCAGGUGCUGGGACUAAAGGUGUGUACCACCACACCUGGCAAGGCUGUUCACUCUUAUGAAACACACCAUCUGGCCCAUGACUGUACACACAAACGCGCACACACUGUAAAAACAGUACAAAGUCAUUUUCAUAAACAUCUUUGAAUGCCUGCAUAUUUUGGAAUGAUUCUCAAGAAAAUAUUAAAGGUGGCUACCUCCGGAGGUGCCAUAAGAUGGAAGGCUGGAGUGAGGCCUAUAACUACCAUCAUGCCAUUGUAACGGCUGAGUAGUUAUCCUCCUAUGGAUUACACGUUACGAACCAGUCUCUACUAGUGUAUGAGUCUGGGUCUUGUGUUCGAUCCGUACAAUCUCCUGAGCGAAGAUCUAAAGUGAGGGUCUGCUGUGUUUAAGGCUCUCCGGUCAGAUUCUCUGUCUAAGAGCCCGUGGUGGUUAAUCGUUAGCCGCUGUGAACCCCUUAUGGCACUGGGAACUAUUCUGAGAACAAAGGCUGUCGUAGCCUGGGAGUAGGUGACCAGAUGUGAAAAAAGUGAAAAACAUUAUCAUCUCUUUAGACCAAGCAUCAUGAUGUGUGAACCAGGGCUGCGUCAUUUUCAUCAGAAAUGAACUAAUGAAUGGGUGGGCUGACAAGCAGUCCAGUUGUGGAAUUUCUUCCUGGGAUACAAGUUCUUCCUCUGGCUGGCCUCAGGCGUCACCGUCCUCCUAAGAAACAUCAGACCCGCCCCUGACAGAGCACUCCUUUCCCCCAGAAGAGGGCAGUUCUCCGUGAAGGUCUAUGAAACAAAUUGUUGAUACUGACAGACGUCUUUUUCCCGGAGAAAAGCUCACCCUAUUGCUGACACCAGAGCGCUAUCCUAUUUCUUAUCCUUUGGCGAGUCCAAGGGCUGUUGGACGCCAGGAAAUGAAGGUCAGAUGUCUAUUUCACUGUGUCACACUAGAGAGAGACAUCCAGCUCACAGACAUAGAAACAACCUCCUUUACUGGUGACUUCCUCAUUUCCUGACCCAGAUCCUGCAAGGACUAGCUGGACUUCCAGCCCCCAGGCAGUAAAGAUUUACUACAUGUUAUUGUUCA